CCCUGCCAGCCUGAAACUUCUUGUCAGGACGGGGGGCGAGUCGCCUGCUAUCGCGACACCGAGCCUGAACGGUUCUGGGCGCAGCCCUUCUCCUGGAAGGCCCACCUGAAGAGGCCGGCGCCCCUGACGGUAGCGGAGUCCUCUUUGUUACCGAGCCGCUCCUCGAGCGAAGUGGCUGCCGUGAAGACACCGCGCUGCCGCCGGUGUGUCCGGGCCCCGGGGAGUCCCGCCGGGCUGAGGCGGUGGCGGCUCUGAGGGCAGGGGACCUGCGGGGGGCGCGGGAAGCACCUCAGAGACUUGAAGCCCGCGGCUGCGCGCUCGCUCCAUCAGCAGCCCCGCUAGAGGUGGCGGAGCACCGCCGUGCUUCGGCAGUAGCACCGCGCCUCGCUGGUAUCUCCCGCAUCUGGGGCCGACAGGGGUGUCCGGGCCAUCCGCAGCCCCGAGGUGCCGGCGUGCGUCUGCACGCUCCCAUCAGCAGAGAGUGUAUUUGAAUGCAAGUUGCCAUAGCUUACAUACUGCUCAACAGCUUUAAAGUGCCAUCAAUAGAUUUUCAACUGUGUAAUGGAAAAACUUUUUAAAAAUUCUGUCCCUAAACGAAGGUAACCUUUUAUCUGACAGCAGCAAAACCCCAGGUCCCCAAGGCGGACAUCCUUUUGCGGGCUUUGCCACCACGUUUCUUAUGGCUGUCCGUCUUCUGGUGACUUGUGUUGCGGUGCAGUUCCCUACGAGCAGGGAAUAUCGGGCGCACGGUUCAGUGUGUCUCCCUGCAGCGUUACGGGAAGGAAAACAUGAGAAAAGUCGCCGUUUGCACGGAAAGGGGCGGCGGCUCCGCGGCUUGCGGCAGACCUGGCACCGACCGCCUCACGCCGGGCGGGCAGGCGGGCAGAGGGCGGGGCGCUGCGUCGCGUCACUCCGCGGCUCGGCCCGGCGCCGGGGGCUGGCUCGCGACGAGGCGGAAGUGCGCGGCGGCGCUCGGCUCGGCCCCUCAGCCUGCCCUGCCGGGGCUGCGUUAGCAAACAUGAAGAAAUUAAAGCUUAAAGAACUGGAAAGCUGUCUUCAACAAGUCGAUACUUUUGAAAGUCCAAAACUACUCCUUGAACAGUAUCCAACAAGACCUCAUGUCGCAGCAUGUAUGCUUUAUACAAUUCACAAUACUUUUGAUGAUAUUGAAAACAAAACAAUUGCAGAUUUAGGAUGUGGUUGUGGCAUGCUCAGCAUUGGAAGUGCAAUGUUAGGAGCGGGAUUGUGUGUGGGGUUUGACAUAGAUGCAGAUGCACUGGAAAUAUUUAAUACCAAUAUCGAAGACUUUGAGCUCACGAACAUCAACAUGGUUCAAUGUGAUGUCUGUUCUUUAUCUGACAGCAUGUCAGAGACUUUUGACACAGUUAUUAUGAACCCUCCAUUUGGUACCAAGCAUAAUAAAGGAAUGGAUAUGAUUUUUCUGAAAACUGCUUUACAAAUGGCAGGAACAGCUGUAUAUUCUCUUCACAAAACUUCAACACGGCAGCACAUUGAAAAGAAAGCAGAUGAAUGGGAUGUGAAGAUGGAAGUCGUAGCAGGUUUGGCCUUCAAGCAGAAGUUACCUACCUUUCUGCUUCAAAAUGAAAUUGUUGCUGAAUAACAAAAGCAAAGCACAGAACUUAGAUACGACCUACCAGCAUCAUACAAGUUCCAUAAGAAGAAAUCAGUUGACAUUGAAGUGGAUUUCAUUAGAUUUUCUGCCAAGAAACUCCUGAACUGAGGCACGUCUUUAAAACCUACUGAAAAUGGAACAAUAAAAACCAAUUAUUUUUUUAAUUU